UUCUUUCUUUCUUUCUUUCUUUCUUUCUUCAUUCCUUUUUAACUUUGCUUGAGGUCCAAGUGAGAUCAAAUCACAAACAACUGUGCUAGUAGUACGGUCUUCCAGGAAAACACCAAACAGAUUGGCACUCAACAUGGGGCUCAAAGACUCAGGAUCCCUGGAGGAGUAGCCUGAACUUGGUGCCAGGUGCUGGUAUGGCCCUUUUGGGCCCCCUUGACUCUCUGCUUCUCCUUUGGCAGAACUGGGCUAAUUAGGUUACCUAUCAGGGCAACUGAAGUCUGCCAUGUGAACAAGUUCCAGUUUUGUCAGAAGAGAUUUGGAUCAAGCUGUCUUUUACAGACUGGUGGACAAGGUCACUUUUCCUUGAAAUCGCCCAAAACAGGCUGUAGUGUUCCAACAUGGACUUUAUUAAGAACAAGAGGAAAAGGAAAAUCAAGAGAGCUCCAGUCGCUUCCACAGCCCAGGAGGAUCAUGUGUGAUGACUGAUUAGUGGUCCAUCCCUG